rnacentral:lncRNA from 1 species
AUGAGACAAAAAUCUUGGAUUACUAAUGGACAAAAUUUAUUAUAUAAAUUACAAGAGAUGAAUAAAAUGUCUCGUAGAGAAAGAACCUCCUUUCCUGGAUGCUCUUCCACGUUCGGGAUGGACCCCGCAUAAUUCCUUGGAUUUCUGAUCUGGAACUAAGUCUUUCAAUGAUCCUUGCAUGCACCUGGUCGGUGGAGAUAUUAAUGACAUGGUAG